GACAGAGGGUGCAAACGUUGUUCGGAAUUACUGGGCGUAAAGCGAGUGUAGGCGGUUUGGUAAGUCGGAUGUGAAAGCCCCGGGCUCAACCCGGGAAGUGCACUCGAUACUGCCAAGCUAGAGUGUCGGAGAGGUUGGUGGAAUUCUCGGUGUAGAGGUGAAAUUCGUAGAUAUUGGGAAGAACACCGAUGGCGAAGGCAGCCAUCUGGACCGACACUGACGCUGAGGCGCGAAAGCGUGGGGAGCAAACAGG
rnacentral:rRNA from 1 species